UAUUCUGUGAGUUGCGAACGGGUGAGUAACGCGUAGGUAACCUGCCUGGUAGCGGGGGAUAACUAUUGGAAACGAUAGCUAAUACCGCAUAAGAACAUUUACUGCAUGGUAGAUGUUUAAAAGGUGCAAAUGCAUCACUACCAGAUGGACCUGCGUUGUAUUAGCUAGUAGGUGAGGUAACGGCUCACCUAGGCGACGAUACAUAGCCGACCUGAGAGGGUGAUCGGCCACACUGGGACUGAGACACGGCCCAGACUCCUACGGGAGGCAGCAGUAGGGAAUCUUCGGCAAUGGGGGGAACCCUGACCGAGCAACGCCGCGUGAGUGAAGAAGGUUUUCGGAUCGUAAAGCUCUGUUGUUAAGGAAGAACGAGUGUGAGAAUGGAAAGUUCAUACUGUGACGGUACUUAACCAGAAAGGGACGGCUAACUACGUGCCAGCAGCCGCGGUAAUACGUAGGUCCCGAGCGUUGUCCGGAUUUAUUGGGCGUAAAGCGAGCGCAGGCGGUUAGAUAAGUCUGAAGUUAAAGGCAGUGGCUCAACCAUUGUAGGCUUUGGAAACUGUUUAACUUGAGUGCAGAAGGGGAGAGUGGAAUUCCAUGUGUAGCGGUGAAAUGCGUAGAUAUAUGGAGGAACACCGGUGGCGAAAGCGGCUCUCUGGUCUGUAACUGACGCUGAGGCUCGAAAGCGUGGGGAGCGAACAGGAUUAGAUACCCUGGUAGUCCACGCCGUAAACGAUGAGUGCUAGGUGUU
rnacentral:rRNA from 1 species